AUUGAACGCUGGCGGCAUGCUUUACACAUGCAAGUCGAACGGCAGCACGGACUUCGGUCUGGUGGCGAGUGGCGAACGGGGGAGUAAUACAUCGGAACGUGCCCAGUUGUGGGGGAUAACUACUCGAAAGAGUAGCUAAUACCGCAUGGGAACUGAGGUUGAAAGCAGGGGAUCGUAAGACCUUGCGCAACUGGAGCGGCCGAUGGCAGAUUAGGUAGUUGGUUGGAUAAAAGCUUACCAAGCCGACGAUCUGUAGCUGGUCUGAGAGGACGACCAGCCACACUGGGACUGAGACACGGCCCAGACUCCUACGGGAGGCAGCAGUGGGGAAUUUUGGACAAUGGGCGAAAGCCUGAUCCAGCAAUGCCGCGUGCAGGAUGAAGGCCUUCGGGUUGUAAACUGCUUUUGUACGGAACGAAAAGCUUCGGGUUAAUACCCUGGAGUCAUGACGGUACCGUAAGAAUAGGCACCGGCUAACUACGUGCCAGCAGCCGCCGUAAAAC
rnacentral:rRNA from 1 species